UAUAGUAGCGCUCGCAGCGCGACGCGCUGAGUGAAUCCUCUCACAGCGAAAGGGGCGAGCAAUCCGGCAUUUCUUGAGCUUCCGCAGCUUCAUCUCGGAGCGCAAUCUCUUCCACGGCUGGAUUAGUGGCGCAGAGCAUCGGGCGCGAAGGAUUCAAGCUGAGCGGCAUCCAUCCAGUGUCGUUCUUGAUCGCGCCGGAAAACACACAAGUAAAGAUCGAUCGAAAACCCGGAACAAAACGAAGAAGUUUCGACAUCGGCCUCCUCGGACAGUUUCUGGUAACUCCAGUCUUGCGUUUCUCAGUCGUAGAGCAUCCACAAGAGCGGCAUCGUUCGAGUGGAUUCUCCCGCAAGAAAACCGUCAUUCCAUUUUGCAGGCUAGCUCCGUUGCUGGGUGAUGUUCUGCCUUUUGGAAGCUCCAGAAGAUUUUGCUCUCUUGUGGAUCCGGCUGGUGUGUUUUCCAAGGCUGUGAAGACUCGUGAAAAAUGCUCAACGCACUAGCACGUAUUAUCGAAUGCAUCAUCUGUUCUGUCCAAUAGAUUGCAUUGUCUCAGGCAUGCAUCACGGGUUCGAGAAAGAAGUUUACGAGCAGCAGACUGCUCGGGCAUGGGUAUCGCCAUCCCAAUCGCUUAAGAUCUGGAGCUGAAGAGUUGCUAUGCUGAAGUCCAGGCUGCUCGACUUAUCGACGUGGAUGGCUUUCAGGGACGUGAGAAAGCCGGAGCUAUAUUCUUGUGUUCGAGCGAACAAGAAAGACCACUUCGCCAAAACGCUGCUUUUGUGGCAGCCCGCUCUCUCUAUGGACCAGAUAUGGAAGAAGCAUGUUUAAACGUUUCCAAAAAGCUGGGUACAGCACACAAUAUCGAAUGCAUCCUCAGAUUCGAGAAGAGAGUUUUACGGAGGAUGGUGAAGACCGAGCGAGUGUGGCAUGAGUACUCUUGUUCGUUUUCUUUGACAUCGAAGGCCGCGAAGCAGGGAGCGGCUCGUACAUAAACAGUGACGGAACUGACACACUGUGGAUGGUUUCCAGGUA